GACGAACGCUGGCGGCGUGCUUAACACAUGCAAGUCGAACGGUGAAGCGCCUUCCUUUUUGGUGGGUGUGGAUGAGUGGCGAACGGGUGAGUAACACGUGAGUAACCUGCCCCCUUCUUCUGGAUAACCGCAUGAAAGUGUGGCUAAUACGGGAUAUUCUGGGUCUGUCGCAUGAUGGGUCUGGGAAAGAUAUUGUUUCGGUGGGGGAUGGGCUCGCGGCCUAUCAGCUUGUUGGUGGGGUGAUGGCCUACCAAGGCGGUGACGGGUAGCCGGCCUGGGAGGGUGGAGGGUCACACUGGGACUGAGACACGGCCCAGACUCCUACGGGAGGCAGCAGUGGGGAAUAGUGCACAAUGGGCGCAAGCCUGAUGCAGCGACGCCGCGUGAGGGAUGGAGGCCUUCGGGUUGUGAACCUCUUUCGCCAGUGAAGCAGGCCUGCCUCGUUUGUGGGUGGGUUGACGGUAGCUGGAUAAGAAGCGCCGGCUAACUACGUG
rnacentral:rRNA from 1 species